UAGAGACAGUGUUUUGCCAUGUUGGUGAGGCUGGUCUUGAACUCCUGACCUCAGAUGAUCCACCCAUGUCAGCCUCCCAAAGUGUUGGGAUUAUAGGUGUGAGCCACUGUGCCUGGCAGGGUC
rnacentral:antisense_RNA from 1 species